UACGUAGGGGGCUAGCGUUGUCCGGAAUCAUUGGGCGUAAAGCGCGCGUAGGCGGCCCGGUAAGUCCGCUGUAAAAGUCCAGGGCUCAACCCUGGAACGCCGGUGGAUACUGUCGGGCUAGAGUCCGGAAGAGUCGAGUGGAAUUCCUGGUGUAGCGGUGGAAUGCGCAGAUAUCAGGAGGAACACCGAUGGCGAAGGCAGCUCGCUGGGACGGUACUGACGCUGAGGCGCGAAAGCGUGGGGAGCGAACAGG
rnacentral:rRNA from 1 species